UUGACCCCACCCUCCCUCGUCCCUCAGCAGCACAUUGUUGCUGAGCGACUCAGAGGAAAGUUUACCCGCUCGCGCUGGCAACAGCACCUCCAUGACCCAUAACCUUCGACCCCCACGGCUCCAGCCCUGAGGAGGGGCACACACCUGAACAUGGCCUUUUUCAGCUGUCUAUGCUCUCUGUUCAGCAAGGCUAAGGCUCUGUCACCUUCGUGGAGUUUCAAGGACUCAGGUAAGAAAACGAAAUGCAGCAGGAAAGGGGUCGAUUUGGGAUCUUGUGUAAGAAUCCAAACAUUGUCAGUGAUGUCACUGUGCUAAAACCUGCCCAAGCUAUUUUUGCAAGCUUUGUCAUUUGGAGGAUAUACGGUAUUAUGUAUCCUGUGUGUAGUUACUUGUGUAGUGAAGAAUGAGGGUAAGCCUCAUAAAGCCAUGUGUUGCCAUAGCUUGCAUAGGACAAUGAUCGUCUUGCAUAUGGGAUUUGUAAAAGCAACAGAGUACGUCACCAUUUUAGAAACCAGAUUAAUUUGAGUUUGAAACUUAACUAACUGCCUUACGUGAGAGCGUGGCUAUUGAAAUAUCUCUGGCAAGUACAAGGCAGUACUACACACAAACAUUCGUUUGUGCCAUUGAAAGAAGGGCAGUUUUCCCAAGGUCAGGAUAGCUCUGAGCCUCAUGGAGGUAGAGGUAGCUGCUGAGAGGCAGUUGUCUACAGAGACAUUGUUAGAGCUUACUCCAGGGGAGCCUUUGGAAAUCUAUUCACUGAGGCUGCAUUCACACUAAUAUGUUUUCAUUUUAAAACGGUUCGCUAAGACCCAGUCAGGAAGCGAACGUGGGUGACUGUGUCAUCAUUUCCAAAAGUCUCCGUUUCUGCCCGUCCACACUAAAACACAAUCCUCGAGUUUGCAAACUAAAACGGGGCCAGCUAAAAUGUCCAAAAGUCUUUAAGGGCCUCAAAAACUCCAGAGUAGUAUGGAACAGAGAGGCUCACACGUUAAUUUUUUUGCAAGUCCAAGUCAAGUCUCAAGUCUUUCAGCUCGAGUUCAAGUCAAGUCUUAAGUCUCUGGUCACAAAGAAAAUGCACAAUCAGAGCUUUGCUUUAAAGUUAAUAACUGUAUUUUGCCUUGUAACAUGAACAUACAGCUACAGUAUACAUCAAGUAUUGAGGUCCUGCUUACAGUUUUUUCAGUUGCUUCAGUACAUUUCUCAGAUAAGGAAUACAAUUCUAAAAACUGUUCAACCUCCACAUCAUCUAUUCACUUGUGCAUAUCAUAACAGCAAUGUCUCAUUAUUUUGAACAUUUUGGAAAUACUUUUGCAUAUUCAUGCAAAAGGCUAUGUUCGGUCGUCUGCUAUUGAGUCUUACCCCCAAAAACACCUACGUAUCUAUUCAUUGUGUAAGUCAUGACAUGCAAAUUGGUUCAAGUAGUUAUUUAGAUUGAUGAGGAUUUCUGCAUCCUGCUACAAACAUGUUGUACAUGAUUCACACCAACUUUGUUUGAGAUUGAACAAUUGCUAUACAUGUGCAUGGCUUGCAAGAGCCCACAGAUACUAAAUUCACCUGUCAACAGGUAGGCUAGUUUAUUUCCGAAGCAUAUAUUAUGGCGCAUUCAAGACAGCUCAGAAUUCGGAACGUCCGAGAUGAUAUUUCCCUGCUCUGACUUGAAUGCGUUCAAGCCAAAUGUAAACCCAAUAAUAUGGUGAUAGUCCUACUGGAUUUUCCUUCUAUCUGCUAACUUUUUUCUUGUUCAUUUUGACACACUGUCUCUUCAUGUUUCUUCUCACGCAUUUUAAAGGGUUUUUAACCUUUCAUAUAGUCAAGGUCACUACUAAGGUUACUAGUUAAUAUUGCAUCAAAAACAUACAAUAUAAACCUUCAAUUCAUAAAGAAAAACAAGGCAAAAAACAAGUUAUAAACUAAUUUCUUUUUUCAUUUUAAUUACUGCAAAUGCAAUAGACAGACAUGUUCGGACAGUUUUGUCAUCCUCCGUGCAAAUCAUAUGGUCACAGAAACAUCUUUUAUACAGUGAAAGAGGAAUUGGUUCACCUGUCCCCUAUCAGUGCAAUUACACAUCGUCUUGACUCGGCCACCUUCAAUGACCAAGCUCAUGAUUGUAGCAUAUAGGCCCAGUGGCGUCACACCCAUUGACUCAGGGUGGCCAGUGCCCACCCAACAUAUUGUGAACGAAAAAUAAAUGAAUACAAAAAAUAUUCAAGCAGUGUUGUAAACAUUGAUUUGUGGCUAUAAUGUCGUAAUGUUACAAUUAAUGGAAAGGGGUGAGUUUUCAUGCAUACAUUUUGUCCCCUUAGACAGCCAUCGCAUACAUUUAUAACUACGCAGUUCCCGUAUUUUUAACGAGUCUCAUUGGCAUCUGGCCACUGGUGAGUUCAGAUCACUCUACCUAAUUGCACUCUUGUGUUUGCUUACGUGGAUGCGUAGUGGCAUUGUGCUCUCCCCCUUGUAGCUUCGCCCACAUGGACAAAACAACAGGUAAAUAAUAUUAUUUGUGUUGCAUGUUAUAUAUUGUUUAUUGAGAAUAUGUUUUCCUGUCAACGGAUGUGUAAAGAAUUCGUUGUGAUGAGGUUGUUGCAAGAUGCACAAUUAUAGGAAGAAAAGCAACCCAGGGGUAAUCCGAGUACGUGGUUUAGUGACAAACUUGGGUAAGUUAACUCCGAGUAAGUGGUAAACCUUCCAAAAGAAGAGCCAUUUAAGAGAGGUUGGAUGACAGGAAUUGGACAACAGCAGAGUAUUCCUGUCUGUCGAUUUACGAUGCAAAGUUGUCUUUAUUUUGAUAUUAUCUUUGUGGGAAGUUACAUCCAGAAAACUGAUCUUUUCUUUGCUUUUUUCACAGGUGAAUUUGAUGGAGGGUACACCCUACUGGCACCUUGACUAGCGCUUAAGGGCGCUUAUAUGGUACUCCGUACUAAACGUUUACGGACACAUGGGAAGGGCCUACACAUAGAAGGAACGCCCUCUCCGUCGUCUCUGUCGUCUCCGGGGCCCUUGGAGAGCUCUCCCGUGCACCGUUGAAAUUCCUGUCGAUCCGUCAUGCCGUGCUGUACAGCGACGCAUACCCCUUGGCCGUGAUUGGUCCGCUACGACAUAAUUUCCAAACGACAUCAUUUCCGGAAUCUCACAUUUCUGGACCUCGCAUUUCCUGUUUCAUUCCCUAUGUAUCACAAUACCGCCAUGUUUAAAAUCCACAAAAAAACGUAAGAAGAUGGAGAUCACGAACAUAGACAUAUAUAUAUGUCUAUGAUCACGAACAUCGAAGAGCGCAUUGCGGAAGAGGUCCGGAAAUAUCCUCACCUCUAUAACACAUCGCUAAAAGAUUACAAAAAUGCGCGAAUGACUGCCAAUUCUGCAGCGGAAGAGCUGGACACUAAAGACUGCGACUGUUUCCUGUUUCAUUCCCUAUAUAUCACAAUACCGCCAUAUUUAAAACCCACAUGAGCGCCAGCAUCUGACAGAGUAGGUGCCAGAGCCCGGCAGGAGCAGACAGCAAUUAAAAUAUUUUGUCCAAACAACCUUUGGACAUAUUCAUUCAUAUCAUAUCAUGGGACAUAUCAAACAGCCUCAUUAGAAUCUGCAUCGACUAUGAUGCCUUCCGACAUAAAUAUCUCCAUACAGUACAUUUCCCCUCAUUAAGUGUCGUUUUAAACUCUCCAGAUGACAGUUUCUUUUUUUUUUUUUAACGUUAAGUGCACAAAGUGAUUUAAUUUACUCUCAAAAACGAACUUCUGCAUUAUAUGAAGCAAACAUGUUCCAGUGUUGGGAAAGUUCACUUUCUACAUGAACUAGUUCAGUUCAUAGUUCACAAAUUUUAGAAUGAACUAGUUCAGUUCAUAGUUUAUAAUUCAAAAUUUAGAACUAAGUUCACAGCUCCAAAAAAUGGAGUUCUUUUUUUCAAUAUGUUGCGAGUUUAAAUUUUUCUGCAAUACCGCUCUCGGCCUCUACGCAACUCGGCGCACACACAUUGUAUUUGCUUAAAACACACAGAAAACACACAGCUGUCACGCGGCUAUUACCGGACCAAUACCUUUCAAACUCGGUGAUAUUAUUCACAACUCAUUUGUCCCUCAUUCUAUCAAAUAUGAUUAAACGGCAUAUGAUAUUGCACCCGUGAGGCAAGGGAGUAGAGUUUUGUUCAGUUAUCUCUCUAGACUGAUUACUGACCAACCUUCCACCUUUGAAUAAUGUAACUUAUAAACACUUUGUUUUAAAGCGCUGUGGCCGUCCUUAAAAUAUGUGUCAAUAAACGAACUUCUCCAUCAUGUGAAGCAGACAAGUUGACUUUACUACUUAUUAAGAUGUUUUAAAUAUGGAAUGCUUUAUCGCGAAGGCCGCAGUCUCUCAAUUUGCCAAGAUGCUGAUUAUGGAUUAUCCGUGUGCUCUGCCCUGCUAUUGUUUCUAACAAUACAAUAUUUCUUUGUUUGAGUGUGGUUGUUUAGUGCGAUGGGGGUAUAUUAUCGUUACUGUUUAUAAAGGAAGACAUUGCAACAGGAAAAUCUCCUGCUCAUCUCCAUUUGCCCCCACCUGUCACGUCUCUGCGACCCACCAGUUGGGCUCUCCCCACACUUCGAGAAACGCUGUGGUAGGGGGAAAUUGACAGGGUGGUUGCAAUAAUAAUAAAAAAAAUAUUAUUAUUUUAGUAAUUGAUACAUAUGAAGUUUAGUUUAAGGCAAAGGGUAGUGAUGGAUAAAGUUUUCUAUAAAAAACAAGUGAAGUCUUUCAUUCUCACUUUCCACUCUAAAACUAUGAACUGAACUGAACUAUGAACUGGUUCAGAAUUUAAAUGGUGAACUAUGAAUGUGAACUAUUCAUGUUUACUUGUUUGAACUGAACUUUGAACUGGUUCAUGAGAGAUGUGAACUUGUACAACACUGUCAGCUUGUCGGUCUUGACGUUCAGAUGCUGUGCCUAAACUAGCUAUACCAUCGUCUCGUCACAUGAUAAAACAGAGACUUGACAUUGGACCACAACAUACAUAUUACCCAGCAAUCAUCAUUGCAAAUCUGAAUAUGACAAAAAUACCAAAGAAAAUAAGAACGUAUUCAUUUCAGGGAAUCGUUUUUUAAUAGUUUUAAUAGUGUAUAUAAGAUAAGCAUAUACUUUUGUUAUAGAGUGCUACUAUUUUCCCCACAAAUAAUACCUACCAUGAUAGAGAUAAGUUUGCCCUUUCAGGUGUUUAAAUAUGCAUUAGACACACUCUUAAAUAUAAUAUCAUGUUACUACACCUGCUGCACUUAUCGUCUGACUAGUGACUGCUGGUAGGAGGGUCACACGGGAGGAGGGAGAUAAACAACGACGAAUUUUAACUUACAAAGACGUUGCAAAGCAACGUGUCUUCGACAAAAAAACGCUUCUCCACCUACUGUUCUGGCGGUGAAUUGUUUUCAGCACCCCCAGCCUUCGGAGAACCAUAAAGGCAACAGAAAUGCUAAUUAGUCCGUCCUAUCCGUCUGCCCGCCCAUCCGUAACGGAGUCUGAGUACCAUACUGGCACCUUUAAGGUUGCACUUCAGCAGUUACAUUCCUGCACUUCUUUUUCCUUUCUAGGUCGUUUUUCUAAUUCUUAUGUAAAGUAGUAUUUAUUGUUACACCAUGUUUUUUAUUGCUCUUAGCUUGACUGUUCUCUCCCUUUGGACAAAAGCGUCUGCUAAAUGACUAAAUGUAAAUGUAAAUGAUUUAGAAAACUUACAAAACCUUCUAGCUGUCCCUCUGACCCAUACCAUAUUAAAAAUAUAUCAUCAAAAAAAAAUCUUGUUUCUGUGGUCAUAUGAUUUGUAGACACUGAGGAUGACAAAACUGUCAAACCACGUCUGUCUAUCACAUUGGUAGUAAUUAAAACAGUCUAGGCCUACUUGUUUUUCUUUAUGAACUGAAGGUUAAUAUUGUAAUUUUUGAGUGCGCACUCCGACAUUGUUAACUGGAUUGCUAAACUAGUUUGGUAGCUACUUUAGCUAAAAAUGAAGAGGCUAUUCCUGAGUGCAGGUUUACACUUGACUUUAUGACUAGUAAAUAUUGAAAAUGAGGGGAGAAAUCGGGAUAAUUGCUAGUGUGUGUGUGCGUGACAGAGAGAGAGAGAGAGAGAGAGAGAGAGAGAGAGAGAGAGAGAGGCAGACAGACAUCAGCUAGUGGACUUUGAUAAUGAGCAUAUGACAUGUGAUGUAGUCUUAGAGCAUAAUGACCCCCUCAGGAUUGAAGUAGGCAUUUUUACAUUUCCUAAAGUUGCUGUUGGUACGUUAGCAGUUCUUGAUGACACCCAUAUGACAUAGCCAGCACUUUAAGCCACACCCUCCUGUCAACACAUCUGUUGUUUUGUUAAUACUUACAGAAAUAUACGCUACCACUCAAAGGUUUGGAAUUACUCAGAAGAAUGUCAUGUUUUCCAUAGAAACUUGACAACUUGACAUGACAACUCAACAACUUGAAUUGAAUAGAAAAUGCAGUGAAGAUGU
ensembl:lncRNA